rfam:Mangrovibacter sp. MFB070 Contig-049, whole genome shotgun sequence.
CUUUAAAAAUCCGGAACAAGCUGAAAAUUGAAACACUGAACAACGCAAGUUGUUCGUGAGUCUCUCAAAACUUAUAACACGAAGACAUCUUCGG